GCACCGGGAAGUGAUGCCACCAUUGACCAACACAAACCUGGUCUAAAGUCAGUUCUGCAGCAUUUCAUUGUUAUUGUAACAGCGUAUCAAGUAAAAUAUGCCUAGGCUUAU